rfam:Ricinus communis cultivar Hale ctg_1100012294019, whole genome shotgun sequence.
GGGUGCGAUCAUACCAGCACUAAUGCACCGGAUCCCAUCAGAACUACGAAGUUAAACAUGUUUGGGCGAGAGUAGUACUAAGAAUUCCUUUUGGGAAGUACUCGUGUUGCACCCC